rnacentral:rRNA from 1 species
UGGGGAAUUUUGGACAAUGGACGCAAGUCUGAUCCAGCCAUGCCGCGUGCGGGAAGAAGGCCUUCGGGUUGUAAACCGCUCUUGUCAGGGAAGAAACGAGUUUCUCUAAUACAGAGACUUAAUGACGGUACCGUAGGAAUAAGCACCGGCUAACUACGUGCCAGCAGCCGCGGUAAUACGUAGGGUGCGAGCGUUAAUCGGAAUUACUGGGCGUAAAGCGUGCGCAGGCGGUUUUGUAAGACAGAGGUGAAAUCCCCGGGCUCAACCUGGGAAUUGCCUUUGUGACUGCAAGGCUUGAGUGCGGCAGAGGGGGAUGGAAUUCCGCGUGUAGCAGUGAAAUGCGUAGAUAUGCGGAGGAACACCGAUGGCGAAGGCAAUCCCCUGGGCCUGUACUGACGCUCAUGCACGAAAGCGUGGGGAGCAAACA